rnacentral:misc_RNA from 1 species
AAGUCGUAACAAGGUUUCCGUAGGUGAACCUGCGGAAGGAUCAUUACCGAAACAAAAACAAAAAACAAGGCUCACCACUCGCUCUGUUUCGGCAGAGAGAGCUGGUUGUUCCUUUGAGCUGGCUGCACUUUCGAAACAUGGUUGCAGACUGGCAAAAACUCUCAACGAGUCUUCCUUGCCCUUUGCGGGGCGAGGGAGCACCGUUUGAACGAAAAUUUUGAAAAGAAGCAAUAUUGAACGAAAAUUUUGAAAAGAAGCAAUAAACAAAAAACAAAAAGACGAAAUAAAAACCUCGAGUGGUGGAUCACUCGGCUCGUGG